rfam:Enterococcus mundtii QT 25 DNA, complete genome.
AUAUUUCUUCGGGGCAGGGUGUAAUUCCCGACCGACGGUGACGAGUUUACUCGAAGUCCGUGAACCACAUUUUUGUGGUUGAGCUAGUGAAAAUCUGGCACCGACAGUUAAAGUCUGGAUGGGAGAAGAAAAAU